rnacentral:sRNA from 1 species
CUUCCUCGAUCUGCUGCGGUGCGAUGAAAUGGAUAUGGCUGUCCAUGCCGCCAGCGGUGACGAUCUUGCCUUCGGCGGCGAUCGCCUCCGUGCCCGGGCCGACGAUGAUGUUGACACCCGGCUGCAUGUCGGGAUUACCCGCCUUGCCGAUCGCGACGAUGCGCCCAUCCUUGAGGCCGAUAUCGGCUUUGUAGAUGCCCGAAUGAUCGACGAUCACCGCAUUGGUGAUGACCGUAUCGACCGCGCCAUCCGCCCGCGUCACCUGGCUCUGUCCCAUGCCGUCGCGGAU